UGAUGACGUCGAUCCAACACCACAAAAAUUAUUAUCUUAUAAGAAAAUAAUUCCAUUAGGAAUUCGUAAACAAUCUAACCAUUUACUCCUGCAAAAUGCGAGAUAGAUGAGAUUUUCCCCAAUAAAGACUCUAUUCUAUGGACCUAGUAGGCUAAAGAGUAAUAUAAUUGUUUACUAACAAAAGACGCGUCAACGAAGCUCAAAACAUUUUUCACAUCUUCCAGCGUCCAACGUUCCCCUUGCCAACUACCACACCAUGAAAGAAAGAAACAUUCGGAACUGCACAAGCAAACUGUUGGGAGUGAUUUUUCUCUUCGUAGAAGUGUGAAAUCAGUACAGUGAUUAGACGACCGGGGACAAACAUGACUUAGAUUUUCUCUCCGUUGGCUAAAUAAAAAAAAAAGUUAAGUAUAUAUAUCAUUACGGAUUUUUCUGUUCAUAAGCCUUACAUGAAUGAGUUGUAUUGCCGUCAAGGAGUAUUCUUUCUUGUACAAGGUCAGAAAUUGGUUAAGAGACUAGUGUUGAGGUGGGGAGGACUCACCAACAAGCAUGCUUCCAAUUGAGGAAACUGGCUCCACACCUGUUGCUUCUCCAGUUGCCAAAACUGCAUUUCCAUUCUCAACAGCUUCCAGAUCAACAUCUACAUCACUGGAAGCCCCUGCAUUCUCAGUGCGGACUGGUCGGAGCAGACCCUGCAAUCUCAACAGAUUGCUCUGGCUUGAAGGUUGGGUUCUCACAUAUCUGGAGGUUGUUACAACAGUUGCAGGGGGCCGUUCAGAGUCAGUACGAAGAUUGGAUAAGGCGCUAAGAUCAAGGUUUGGGAAAACUGAGCAACGGCACCGUGGACAUUUCACAUUCAGACGAAGCCACUCGUCAAUGCAUUCUACAUGGAAAUUAUGUGCACAAGGCAGGCCACGGACCUCAUUCCCUACAUGGAACUCUUCUAGGCAGAUGGGACAUUCACUGCAGUCAGUUGGAACAGCCUUUAACCGGAACUUUGGAAGUUCCUGAAUGAGUGCCUCCACUGCUUCUCUCUGAGUAGGAGUCAGGUAAAGUCCAGGAUGGUAUGCCGCGACAUCUUGUCCCAUGCCCCUCAUUUCUUGACCAGCAGCUUCAAAUGCCCAAUCUGGUACUCGGAUCAUGUCAACCAAAACCGCAUAUUCUGAAAUAGGAAUUCCUUGUUGAGCACGUAAUAGGUGCGCUUGUCUUCGUGUAAGCCACUAUGAAAGAACUCAAAAACAAGGGUAAGAAAGGGCAUGAGCUGUAAGAAAGCAUCAAGAAGCUAUAUUUUCCGGAUAGGCAGGGUGAAAAUACAUAUGCAAAGAUAAGGAAAAAGAUAGAAAAGAGAUCUAAUGAGCUCUCCCUUAUUUCAUAGUUCAAGAUCAAGCUUAAGUCUAAUGACUGGUGUGGUGCUGGACAAGAAGCAGAAGGUGCUAUGCUAACCUUUCCCAUGGACAUGCAAGCAAUACAAAGGAGUCCACAGUAGCUGAAAAGCAACCAAAUAAUAAAACCCCAUUUCCGACCUUCUUCUGGCAACUGCAAGAAGUUAAACAUAUCAUCUCCUCUGUAAGCAUGUUCUCAAUGAUCACUCUGAAAAAGAAAAAAGGAAAAAAUGUUCUCACUGACGACAAUGCUCUCAAAAAAUGAGGAAUCAGCGAAGAACUUACACAAUUUCUUGCAGUCAUGAACCAGAGUGUACCAAUUAUAGUCCAAGCCCAAAGAAAAGGAUAGAGUAGCAAAGAAAGAAUUGAAAGGACCACUAUUCUUCCACAAAAACGAGCGUACCGCUGCUGCCAUCCAAAAUCCAAACCCAUUCCAGCAGCAAGUCCAUUAUCUAUGAACAUCAAGAAGCGAAAAACAAAAACAGUAGUAUAAUCA
rnacentral:misc_RNA from 1 species